AUGGCCGACGCGGGUCAAAGUGUAGUGUCUAUUCUUAUCAACUCAAUAUCUGUUACGGGUUGUAAUUGUACCCAAUGAGAUUAAAUAUUAAACUUUUGCAAGUUGGCGGAGUGCUCGAAGCCUGCUUCACCUCCGUCACGGGUCGCGCGAUAUUGCACUAUCUUCGCGAUCGGCGCACGGGAG